ACAAGGGUUUAAUCAUCUUCAGAAUAGUUCGGAAGGUGCAGGUAGAGCAACUAAUGGAAGAUGGUCUUUGGAUUGAGCGAUGAAAAUCAGCAAACUCACCAUUACCCAAAAUUUCCUUGAUGGAUGACAAAGGAAUCAACGUGUUCCGAACCCACCAUUUCUGAUCUUAGAAAUGUACAUUCUCUAUGCUGUACGAUCUUAAGAUUUUAUCUAAGCACUGAACAGAAGUGUUAUGUGUGUGUCUUUGUGUUAUUCAGAAGGUAGGUUUUCAGAUGCUUUGAGAAACUUGGCUCGCCCGUUUCACUCUCCAUUAGAUGCCAGAGGCCAAGAAGUUCUGCAAUCAGUGCUUAAGUGAUCGAAACAAGAUCGAGAGAUUUGGAAUCGGUUUCAGUGAGGUUAUGGGUCAUUUUCAUAAGCUGAGGGGUGUUUCUAGUCAGACAUACAGGCUUGCCUUUUGGCUUUCUAUGCAUAAGGAGUUCCAAAAUUUCUCUUUGGAAGAUGCAUAUGCUAACUAUGGCAUUCAACCCUUAGAUCCCCUGCUACUGAUUUCAACAUAUUUCAAUCAUCUGUCUCACCAGAGUUUCUUACCUUCUGUUUCAUUUCUAAAAUUGGCAAGCUUGCUUGAUCUUCAAUAGACAUGGUUGAUGAAGAUUCAGUGCAAGACUCUGUAACAAAGAUAAGGUCUCAGUAUUAUCAGUACAAGCUCUGCU